rnacentral:rRNA from 1 species
AACGAACGCUGGCGGCAGGCCUAACACAUGCAAGUCGAGCGAACCCUUCGGGGUUAGCGGCGGACGGGUUAGUAACGCGUGGGAAUAUACCCUUUGGUACGGAAUAGCCUCGGGAAACUGAGAGUAAUACCGUAUGUGCCCUUCGGGGGAAAGAUUUAUCGCCAAAGGAUUAGCCCGCGUUGGAUUAGGUAGUUGGUGGGGUAAUGGCCUACCAAGCCUACGAUCCAUAGCUGGUUUGAGAGGAUGAUCAGCAACACUGGGACUGAGACACGGCCCAGACUCCUACGGGAGGCAGCAGUGGGGAAUCUUAGACAAUGGGCGCAAGCCUGAUCCAGCCAUGCCGCGUGAGUGAAGAAGGCCUCGGUUGUAAGACUCUUCGGUCCGGGACGGAAAGUACGC